CCUACGGGCGGCAGCAGUGAGGAAUAUUGGUCAAUGGCCGAGAGGCUGAACCAGCCAAGCCGCGUGAGGGAAGACGGCCCUACGGGUUGUACACCUCUUUUGUCGGGGAGCAAAGCGAACCACGUGAGGGUCAUUGAGAGUACCCGAAGAAAAAGCAUCGGCUAACUCCGUGCCAGCAGCCGCGGUAAUACGGAGGAUGCGAGCGUUAUCCGGAUUUAUUGGGGUUAAAGGGAGCGUAGAUGGGUUGUUAAGUCAGUUGUGAAAGUUUGCGGCUCAACCGUAGCAUUGCAAUUGAUACUGGAAGUCUUGAGUACAGUUGAGGUAGGCGGAAUUCGAGGUGUAGCGGUGAAAUGCUUAGAUAUCACGAAGAACUCCGAUUGCGAAGGCAGCUUACUAACCUGCAACUGACACUGAUGCUCGAAAGUGUGGGUAUCGAACAGGAUUAGAUACCCCUGUAGUC
rnacentral:rRNA from 1 species